rnacentral:rRNA from 1 species
AGAGUUUGAUCAUGGCUCAGAUUGAACGCUGGCGGCAGGCCUAACACAUGCAAGUCGAGCGGUAGAGAGAAGCUUGCUUCUCUUGAGAGCGGCGGACGGGUGAGUAAUGCCUAGGAAUCUGCCUGGUAGUGGGGGAUAACGUUCGGAAACGGACGCUAAUACCGCAUACGUCCUACGGGAGAAAGCAGGGGACCUUCGGGCCUUGCGCUAUCAGAUGAGCCUAGGUCGGAUUAGCUAGUUGGUGGGGUAAUGGCUCACCAAGGCGACGAUCCGUAACUGGUCUGAGAGGAUGAUCAGUCACACUGGAACUGAGACACGGUCCAGACUCCUACGGGAGGCAGCAGUGGGGAAUAUUGGACAAUGGGCGAAAGCCUGAUCCAGCCAUGCCGCGUGUGUGAAGAAGGUCUUCGGAUUGUAAAGCACUUUAAGUUGGGAGGAAGGGCAGUAAAUUAAUACUUUGCUGUUUUGACGUUACCGACAGAAUAAGCACCGGCUAACUCUGUGCCAGCAGCCGCGGUAAUACAGAGGGUGCAAGCGUUAAUCGGAAUUACUGGGCGUAAAGCGCGCGUAGGUGGUUAGUUAAGUUGGAUGUGAAAUCCCCGGGCUCAACCUGGGAACUGCAUUCAAAACUGACUGACUAGAGUAUGGUAGAGGGUGGUGGAAUUUCCUGUGUAGCGGUGAAAUGCGUAGAUAUAGGAAGGAACACCAGUGGCGAAGGCGACCACC